rnacentral:tRNA from 1 species
GGGGAUGCACUCUAUCGGGAGAGCGCCUGUUUUGCAUGCAGGAGGCCGCAGGUUCGACCCCUGUCAUCUCCA